rnacentral:rRNA from 1 species
UACGGGGGGGGCAAGCGUUGUUCGGAAUUACUGGGCGUAAAGGGCUCGUAGGCGGCCAACUAAGUCAGACGUGAAAUCCCUCGGCUUAACCGGGAGGGUGGCAUUGAUACUGGGUUGCUUGAGUAAAGUUGAGGUAGGCGGAAUUGACGGUGUAGCGGUGAAAUGCUUAGAUAUCGUCAAGAACACCAAUAGUGAAGACAGCUUACUAAACUUUAACUGACGCUGAGGCACGAAAGUGUGGGGAUCAAACAGG